UGUGUGUGUGUGUGUGUGUGUGUGCACCAUACGCCACUACUGACACACCUUCCCUUCACCAAAACCACACAAUAUUCCAUCGCUUCUUUAUUUUUGUGUUUGAAUCGAGUGCUGUCUGCACAGAGAGGUUCAGUCUGGUCUGAAAGGAACUUGCUCUCCUUCUUUUUGUUUCUCAUUCUCUUUUUUUUCUCCUCAGCUGGGCUCUACAUUGUAAGAGUUGCCAAAGUCCAGCGCGUUUCCCUGCGUGCCCCUGCGGCUCGCUUUCAGAGCAGGAGAAACGGGUGACUGUUGCUGAGGAGUUUUGGCUGGACUUGUGUUUUGGUGUGUGUGUGUGUGUGUGUGUGUGUGUGUGUGUGUGUGUGUUUCACUCAGGUCUCCCAAACCGCUGUAAGGCGGACGCCCUGCUCAAAGAGGCACUGAAAGAGUUCUACACAUGCCGGUUCCUGCCUCCUCCUUGCCCAUCCUUUACCUGUUACAGUGGUGCCGAAACCCAGGAGAGAGAAGGGAUGCGCUGUUGCGGAGUCCUCGCCGCUGCCACCCACCAGGGGAGCAAGCGGGUCGGAGGGCUCGCUGCCGUCUGCCAGGGGAGGAGCAAGCUGUCAUCCGCCAGAGGGCGGAGGAGCGGUUGAGGACCAGGCAACAGUGUAUCCGGGAACUGGCAAGCAAGUUUUUCUCUCUCUCUCCU